rnacentral:rRNA from 7 species
CAACGCGACCCCAGGUCAGGCGGGGCUACCCGCCGAGUUU